rnacentral:rRNA from 1 species
AACGAACGCUGGCGGCAUGCCUAACACAUGCAAGUCGAACGAACCCUUCGGGGGUAGUGGCGCACGGGUGCGUAACGCGUGGGAACCUGCCCUUAGGUUCGGAAUAACUCAGAGAAAUUUGAGCCAACACCGGAUAAUGUCUUCGGACCAAAGAUUUAUUGCCUUUGGUUGGGCCAGCGUUGGAUUAGCUUGUUGGUAGGGUAAUGGCAUACCACGGCGACGAUCCAUAGCUGGUUUGAGAGGCAGCUCACCCACUCUGAGAUUGGGAAGCGGCCCAGACUCCUACGGGAGGCAGCAGUGGGGAAUAUUGGACAGUGGGCGAAAGCCUGAACCAGCAAUGCCGCGUGAGUGAUGAAGGCCUUAGAGUUGUAAUGCUCUUUUAACCGUGAUGAUAAUGACAGUACCGGGAGAAUAAGCCCCGGCUAACUACGUG